CCUAAAGUGUAAAAUACAAAAUGUUAAUUCCUUUAAAAAUAAAUCUAGAAACCCAUCUAAUGUUAAUGUAUUAAUGAAAAUUCAGACUUUCAAACCACUAUAAAGGAAGCUAAUGAGAAUCUUAAAUCUUCUAAAUCCAACUUCUGUUUAAUAAUAUUCCCUUGAGAAAAAUGCUAAGUCUGGACGAAGCAAUAAAUAAUAAUUGUUUCCCUGCCUCACCAUGUGAUUUGACAGGAUGACACCACGUUUUCAGAACAGGAGCCUGAGGAAAAGGGACCAGCGGAAAGGAGUCUGGUGCUUGAUGGCCACCCCACAGUUUACCAGUUAUAUGGUCAAGUCACUUAAGCACUGAGUAUCAGUUGUCCUACCUGUAAUAGUUUAUUACAUUUCUGUUCAAAGGCAGCAAGUCAGACCAGAUGAACAAGGUUUUGUUUUAUUCUCGAGCCUUCUAAAUAACAUUUUUCUACAGCUAUCAGAUACAACAACACACCUUUGCUCCCAUUCUCCUAGAACUCAACUGUGUGCAGUAGGAUUCAUCUUGUACAGAGGUCUGGUCUUUGUCCUUGGCUCCCAGAAGUUUAAGCUGGAUCUCAAACUCAAAAGAUGACACUUUUCAAGAUAAGGGCCACCCAGAAGUAAACUCAUGCCAAAUGGACUGCCAGGUAAGUAGUCUUACCUUACAAGGGGGAAAAGCAACAAAACAAACAAAAAACACUACUGAGAAACUAUAGGCCCAAGACUCCAGCAGAAGCAAAGCAAUCUCUCCAAAGGAAGGCU